AGCAGCCGCGGUAAUUCCAGCUCCAAUAGCGUAUAUUAAAGUUGUUGCAGUUAAAAAGCUCGUAGUUGAACUUCGGGGUUCACCCAUUGGUCAGGCUUAAUUGUCUGCACUGGUGAGAUGAGUCUCUACCUUCUGAGGAACUUUCAUGUCAUUAAUUUGGUGUGAUGGGAAAUCAGGACUGUUACUUUGAAAAAAUUAGAGUGUUUAAAGCAGGCUAACGUCUGAAUACAUUAGCAUGGAAUAAUGAAAUAGGACGGACUGAUUCUAUUUCGUUGGUU
rnacentral:rRNA from 1 species